rnacentral:lncRNA from 1 species
UAGCUUGAUGUUUGAUGUUGCUUCACUGACCUAUUCUCAGCUCCCAGCUAGUUUGAUACUCAUGUUAUUAAGUCUGAACCAGUGAACAUCUACAGAGGAAAAUGAUGCAUUUAGUUUGAUUUGUUGCAAGGUCACUGCUGAAUCUUAAUUUGUAUCUAGAUAGAGGCAACUCUGCAGUGUUUUUGAAUCACUUUUCUGUAAAAAGAAAUGAAAUGCAGUAACAAAUGCACAAAAAGAUCAAGCAGGGUCACUGCUAUAGUGGCAUAGAAAUUUAUACUCCAUAUCUAAU